GACGAACGCUGGCGGCGUGCUUAACACAUGCAAGUCGAACGGAAAGGCCCUGCUUUUGUGGGGUGCUCGAUUGCCGAACGGGGGAGAAAAACGUGAGUAACCUCCCCUUAACUUUGGGAUAACUCCUGGAAAAUGGGGCUAUAACAGGAUAGAAGCUCUUGAUCCACGGGGGGGGUUGGAAAGUUUCGGCGGUGGGGGAUGGUUUAGCGGCUUACGAGCUGGUUGGUGGGGUAGUGGCUUACCAAGGCUUUGACGGGUAGCCGGCCUGGGAGGGUGACCGGCCACAUUGGGACUGAGAGACGGACCAGACUCCUACGGGAGGCAGUAGUGGGGAAUAUGGCACAAUGGGCGGAAGCCUGAUGCAGCAACGCCGCGUGCGUGAUGACGGCCUUCGGGUUGUAAACCGCUUUCGCCUGUGACGAAGCGUGAGUGACGGUAAUGGGUAAAGAAGCACCGGCUAACUACGUG
rnacentral:rRNA from 1 species